CGCGGCCACCCCUGGGUGCCGGCGCAGAGCUCUGAAGGCCUCCUUUCCCUCCCCGCUGCCCUUAGAUCGUUGCAGUGCCUUGGAAGUGGAGAAAAAGUUACUCAAGACCGCCUUCCAGCCCGUGCCCAGGCGGCCCCAGAACCACCUGGACGCCGCGCUGGUCUUGUCCGCCCUCUCCUCCUCUUAGUUCUUUUUUUUUUAAUUUUUUAAUCGUUGUAAUAAUUGUAAAAAAACAAAGUAAUCGCUCUGUAUAGUUAUGACUUGUAAGCAUGUCUGUGUAUGAAUACCUAAAAAAAAAAAAAAGAAAACUAAACCAAAAAAAAAAAAAGAAAUAAAAAAAAUACAACAAGUCCCCCGGGUGGAGUCUCCCCAAGUCGCUUCUGUCCCCCACAUUAGCCGAGCUUGGGAGAUGGGUGUGCGAGGCUGGUUGUGGGGAGUGGCGUUUCGGAGAGAAUCAGCGUGUCUGACUUGUUUGUAUAUAUUCCUUAGACAUGUACAUAUGUGCGAACCAAAUUGUACAAGAAAGUAUCUAUUUUUGGCUAAAUAAAUGAGCUGUUGCCACUUUGACUAUAA